AGUAACGGCGAGUGAAGCGGCAACAGCUCAAAUUUGAAAUCUGGCUCUCGGGCCCGAGUUGUAAUUUGUAGAGGAUACUUUUGAUGCGGUGCCUUCCGAGUUCCCUGGAACGGGACGCCAUAGAGGGUGAGAGCCCCGUCUGGUUGUAUGCCAAAUCUCUGUAAAGUUCCUUCAACGAGUCGAGUUGUUUGGGA
rnacentral:rRNA from 1 species